UACAGAGGGGGCAAGCGUUGUUCGGAAUUACUGGGCGUAAAGGGCGCGUAGGCGGACUAUUAAGUCAGGGGUGAAAUCCCGGGGCUCAACCCCGGAACUGCCUUUGAUACUGGUAGUCUCGAGUCCGGAAGAGGUGAGUGGAAUUCCGAGUGUAGAGGUGAAAUUCGUAGAUAUUGGAGGAACACCAGUGGCGAAGGCGGCUCACUGGUCCGGUACUGACGCUGAGGUGCGAAAGCGUGGGGAGCAAACAGG
rnacentral:rRNA from 1 species